CAGCCGCCGCGGUAAUACAGAGGGUGCGAGCGUUAAUCGGAUUUACUGGGCGUAAAGCGUGCGUAGGCGGAUUGUUAAGACAGAUGUGAAAUCCCCGGGCUCAACCUGGGAACUGCAUUUGUGACUGGCAGGCUAGAGUAUGGCAGAGGGGGGUGGAAUUCCGCGUGUAGCAGUGAAAUGCGUAGAUAUGCGGAGGAACACCGAUGGCGAAGGCAGCCCCCUGGGCCAAUACUGACGCUCAUGCACGAAAGCGUGGGGAGCAAACAGGAUUAGAUACCCCCGUAGUCCCUGUCUCUUAUAC
rnacentral:rRNA from 1 species